rnacentral:rRNA from 1 species
CAGUCGCCGCGGUAAUACGAAGGGUGCAAGCGUUAAUCGGAAUUACUGGGCGUAAAGCGUGCGUAGGCGGUUUGUUAAGUCUGCUGUGAAAUCCCCGGGCUCAACCUGGGAAUGGCAGUGGAUACUGGCAAGCUAGAGUGUGUCAGAGGAUGGUGGAAUUCCCGGUGUAGCGGUGAAAUGCGUAGAGAUCGGAAAGAACACCAACGGCGAAAGCACUCUGCUGGGCCGACACUGACACUGAGAGACGAAAGCUAGGGGAGCAAAUGGGAUUAGAUACCCCUGUAGUCCCUGUCUCUUAUAC